GACGAACGCUGGCGGCGGGCUUAACACAUGCAAGUCGAACGGAAAGGCCCUGCUUUUGUGGGGUGCUCGAGUGGCGAACGGGUGAGUAACACGUGAGUAACCUGCCCUGGACGGUGGGAUAACUUCAGGAAACUGGUGCUAAUACCGGAGAGGAGCUGCUGCUGCAGGGGGGUGGUUGGAAAGUUUAGGCGGAUGGGGAUGGACGUGCGGCUUAUCAGCUGGUUGGGGGGGUAGUUGCUUACCAAGGCUUUGACGGGUAGCCGGCCUGAGAGGGUGAACGGCCACAUUGGGACUGAGAUACGGACCAGACUCCUACGGGAGGCAGUAGUGGGGAAUAUUGCACAAUGGGCGGAAGCCUGAUGAAGCAACGCCGCGUGCGGGAUGACGGCCUUCGGGUUGUAAACCGCUUUCGCCUGUGACGAAGCGUGAGUGACGGUAAUGGGUAAAGAAGCACCGGCUAACUACGUG
rnacentral:rRNA from 1 species